UGCAAGUCGAGCGGAAACGACGGAGCUUGCUCCGGGCGUCGAGCGGCGGACGGGUGAGUAACGCGUAGGAAUCUGCCCAGUAGCGGGGGAUAGCCCGGGGAAACUCGGAUUAAUACCGCAUACGCCCUACGGGGGAAAGCAGGGGAUCUUCGGACCUUGCGCUAUUGGAUGAGCCUGCGUUGGAUUAGCUUGUUGGUAGGGUAACGGCCUACCAAGGCGACGAUCCAUAGCUGGUCUGAGAGGAUGAUCAGCCACACUGGGACUGAGACACGGCCCAGACUCCUACGGGAGGCAGCAGUAGGGAAUAUUGGGCAAUGGGCGCAAGCCUGAUCCAGCCAUGCCGCGUGUGUGAAGAAGGCCUUCGGGUUGUAAAGCACUUUCAGCAGGGAGGAAGGCGCGCCGGUUAAUACCCGGCGCGAUUGACGUUACCUGCAGAAGCAGCACCGGCUAACUCCGUGCCAGCAGCCGCGGUAAUACGGAGGAUGCAAGCGUUAAUCGGAAUUACUGGGCGUAAAGCGCGCGUAGGCGGUUCGUUAAGUCGGAUGUGAAAGCCCCGGGCUCAACCUGGGAACUGCAUCCGAUACUGGCGGACUGGAGUACGGUAGAGGGGGGUAGAAUUCCACGUGUAGCGGUGAAAUG
rnacentral:rRNA from 1 species